rnacentral:rRNA from 1 species
UCGCUAAAGGGUGCUCGGGAGGCUACGCCGUAAAACAACCCCAUUUCUAAGGUUGACCUCGGAUCGGGUAGGGAUACCCGCUGAACUUAAGCAUAUCAAUAAGCGGAGG